GAAAAUCCUAUCUCUAGUCAACCCCUGCUCAAGCAUCAUGUCCUAUAAAUACCCGUGACUCUCCUCGACUAAUUCUCGUAAAACCCCCACGCCAAAACCCCAUAUACACGAAGCUUUCGGCGUUUGGAUCUUGCCACAGAAGCUGCGGUUCAUCGUCGGAUUCCAACGCCCGUGAGCCAUUCCGAGCCUCCAUCCUUUGCAGUUAGACUUAUUGCGAUCCUUAGCUUCUUUUUGACAUGGUCUAAUCUCGUAUCUCCAUCUACAACGACCGCCUCGAGCUCGUAACGUCGCCGUAGUUCACGGAGUUCACCUCGAUACCCCGUUCGCUUCGGUCACCACCAACCUUCACAUUCAGCAAAAAUCGUUUGCCCUCGACGUUCCGCAUCUGUUGGACAACUUCCCCGACGCCGUUGAUCACGGAUCACGGAGUAUGUUUUUUUUUUCCGUUUUAUUCCUAAAAAAACUGCUGGCCAGGCGAGCGCACCGGACGGCCAAGCUAACCAUGGGCCAGCGCCCCAGCCCACCCCACACGCAUGGUGGGAGUUGCCCUAGCGAGGCAAUGAGCGAGGCGAGCCACGAGUGCUCCUCCCAGCCGCUGCCGGCUGUUUGUUUUUCAAACAAAGGGCAACGAACCCCACGUUAUGUUUCUCUCCUCCCAAUUUCCUCUCUUUCUCGUACUCUCUCUCCCUGGCGCGUGGGACCCGCUCGGUCUUCUUCCUGUCCACGAAAACAAAACAGAGUCCAACUGCACGCACGUACGCGUAAAGACGCCGACUUCGGUUUAAACUUUGUGAAAAUCCUAUCUCAAGUCAACCCCUGCUCCAAGCAUCAUGUCCUAUAAAAACCCUUGUACGCGAAGCUUUCGUCAUUUGGAUCUCACCGCAGAAGCUGCGGUUCAUCGCCAUAUUCCGACGCCCGUGAGCCAUCUCGAGCCUCCAUCUUGUGUAGUUAGACUUUUUUCAAUCCCUAGCUUCUUUUUGACAAGGUUUAAUCUCAUCUCUUCGUCUAUAGCGACCACCUCGAGCUCGUAACGACGUCUUAGUUCACGGAGUUCACCUCGACGCCCCGCUCGCUUCGUUCACCAUCAACCUUCACCUUCAGCAAAAAAUCGGUCGCCCUCGAUGUUCCACAUGUGUUGGACAACUUCCCCGACGCUGUUGAUUGCGGGAGCCGCCUCACCAUCGUCAUCUUCUUCUGUGCCUCCUCAUAUUUGUUGUGUGUAAGUUAUUUUCAUAUUAGUUAAGUAGAGAUUGUUUACCUUUUAGCCUUGUAGCGAACACUUGCAGCAAACCAAUGAUAGCCACGUGUCGCAUAUCCGCAAUUUAAUGUUUUCAGAAAAAUCUCGUUUUUAAAUUAGAUCUCAGUUUUGUUUUGUAUCUUUAGUUUUAUAACUCCGUUUUCUUGUUGCUACAGAUUCAAAAAAAUCCCCUCUAUCACGUGGAACCAUCAAAAAAAAUAUAUUUUUGAACUUUUAAUUUUCGAGUUCAAACAGAUUUGUAGUAAACACUAAUUUAGGUAUAACUUUUAUUUAGAAUUUUGUUUUUGAUUGUUUCUUUUUGCUAAUGAUUUCGACAUGUUAUGUUUAUCGAGAGGUCUAAUGAAAAUAUAUUUUGUAUUUAUAAAUUUUCGAUCUGGACAGAUUCAAGAUUUAUUUUAAAUAGGUCAUAACUUUUGUUUUAUAGAACCUUUUUAUUUGAUUCUUUUUGUGUAGAAAAGUUUAGGUGAAAUACUUUCUGUUAAUUUCAUUAGUCUUAUUUUUUUCUGUUAAGAUGUUAUUAGCUACAGAAAACUAUUUAUAGUUUGCUUUGUUUUUACUAAAAGCUUUGCCAUGGACUUUUGGAUGAAUUCUUUAUUUGGUUUUUCUCUCUUGUCUACGUUAGUGUUAUUGGUUGUUUUAAUAUUAUUAGUUUUUACUUGUUGUUAUGUUUAUGUUGUGCUUAUUGCGUGAACUGUUUGUCUCUUAGAUCAUCCGGAGUGCGAGGCUUGCUAUAUAGAGUCACUCGAGUUUGAAGACCGUCAGCAAGGCAAGUUCACAUUGAUCAUGUAUUAGCUAUGAUUUUAUUGCAUUAGUUCAACUUUUUCCACCAUUGCAUGUAAAGUAGGUAAAUUGGAAACUUGGUUCUUGAGUAGUAUCAUGUGGUAGGCACCCCAUAAACCCUUGUCACUUUGGUCCGGGAGACGAUGUUUUCUUUGCUAUGCUUUAGUAGACGGGGUAGGUUGAGUGUUUAUCAUGAGAGUUGUGAGACUUAAUGAAUGACCAAGACCUCAACACUUCAAGAUUUUCAAGACCUCAUGAUUGCAAUAUACCUCUGGGUGGAAAUUGGUUGAACGACACCCUGGAGUACCCAGUGAUAGCCUAGGUGUUGCUGAAGAAGUGCGAGUGUUCACGCGGAAAGUUCCACCCAGGUACGAAGAGAUGGAUGGAUACUUCAAGACCCGAGGCUUACCUGCAUAGCCACAAGCCAUUAUGGGCUCUGGCUUGGUUGGACAUCGUGGCGACUCUGGAUGGGUUGUGCUACGAGAUGUAGAAGAACGGUAGGAAUGGAUGGGCACCGACAAUCGCUCAGAGGAACCCGUUGGAAGACCAUGUUUUGAUCAUCCGGUUCUCAAACACCUUGCUGUGCGAGGACUUCAAUGGAGGCGAUCAAAUCUUGUGGGAAACGUGUGCAAAACUCUGUAGAGUACCAAACCUAAUCGAUUAGUCAUGUCCACGAUUACGGACAACUUGAGCCAAAGGAACCGAAACUAUGAGGAAUUCUUGACACAAAUAAAUUUAAUGAUGUGGGAAUUAUUAUUUGGGUAUGAGAAAUGUUUGGUGGAACCUUCUCAUUAAACAACCAAUAUGUAGUAAUUAUUUUCGCUUUUGCCCCCUCUCCUGUUGUAGGAAAAAUUUGCUUUCCGCUAAAAUUUACAGCCCCACCUGCCAUAUAUGCAUAUAGUGUAGAUGAUAUUUUCACCCCUCUUUUUUGUGACUUGCCGUCAUAUUCAACAUGAUGACCUACACGGCGGCAACGUGUCAUGUUGCAGAGUACUUUUCCGACCAGGAGUAAGGACACGAUCUACGCUCGGUGAUAUGCCCUUUGAGUCAGAUGGACUCAACUACCUUUGAAGCUUCUGCUAGUUUUCGAUUAGUUUUAUCACAUGAGUUGGCCUUCAACCACUUUAUUGUAAUCUUUAUUGAAAUAAAGGACUCGAUAUGAGAUUUCGAUUAAUAAAGCAGUGUGAUUGAACUCUCGAU
rnacentral:lncRNA from 1 species